rnacentral:rRNA from 1 species
GCUCCUGGCUCAGGAUGAACGCUAGCUACAGGCUUAACACAUGCAAGUCGAGGGGCAGCAUGGUCUUAACUUGCUAAGGCUGAUGGCGACCGGCGCACGGGUGAGUAACACGUAUCCAACCUGCCGUCUACUCUUGGCCAGCCUUCUGAAAGGAAGAUUAAUCCAGGAUGGCAUCAUGAGUUCACAUGUCCGCAUGAUUAAAGGUAUUUUCCGGUAGACGAUGGGG